GAAGGACUAUUUGAGAGAGCACUGGUGCAGUGGGAAUAGCACUACAUUUAAUGUAAUUUAAUGGCAAUAACAAUAAUAAUAGCCAACAUUUGCAUAGCACUUACUAUGCACUGGUUACAAUUGUUGUCUCCUUUGAUCCUCCCAACAAUACUGAGAGGUAGGUGCUACUAUUAUCCUCAUUUUAUAGAUGAGAAAACUAAGGAGGGCAGCAGCAGUUAAGAGACUUGCCCAGAUAGUGUCUGAUUUUAUAUUUGAACCCAGGUCUUCCUGAGUCCAGGACUAGCUCUCCAUUCACUGCCCUACCUAAUUACCCAUGACUACGUGUCCAUUCUCUCAAUUUUUCAUCUCUGAAAUGGGGAGAAUAGAACCUAUCAAACUUAUCCCCAUAGGGCUAUUAUGAAGAAAAAAAUGGGAAAACAGAUGUAGAGUCCUUUACAAAUUUUAAAGCAUUCCAUUAAUGUCACUUUUUAUCAUAAACACCACAUGGAAAAGAGAGAAGCCUUGUUUUGCUUGACCCUGUGAAGAUGGGAUUGACUCUCCCCUUGCCUACUUUUAAAUUUAAUCAACUAAAAGUGAAGACACCCCUACUUAACAUUAACUAGAGAAGGUUCAAAAACCACUUACUAAAGUGAGUAACACCUCCAGAAACAACUGGCUGCCCCCUAGGCAAUGCUAAGCAAAUUUAAAGACUGCAUUUGGUCCCAGUCAAGUGGAAGGACAGGAAGUGAUGUUAAAAAAGGGCUACAAAAUAUGAUGAACUUCCUGUCCAAGAAAGGGUCUUUGGUCUUUGGUCUGAAUCUUUAGUGUGAAGGACCAGGGGCUGGUGACUUGAACUGCUUCUAGUAAGACUGUUCUUGGAUCUUCCCCUUUGGACUUGGACUGCAGCUUUGAGCUACAGAUUGGAAAACGGAAACAAAGCCCUUGCAACGCGGACGUCUAGUCAAACAAAACAAAAGAAAAGGUCCCACAUUGGCUACAUCCAAAAAUCAACAGCUGUUUUUCCAUACAGAUUUUACCUGUUCUUGAAAAGCAAUAGAUUGUUCUGCGAAUCCCACUGCACGGAAAUAAUUGACGACAUCUAUGACCUCCCAGUCUACGGGGUCAGGCGGGCUCCCAUUCUCUAUGGCACUGCAAAAUGCAAAUUCAGAAAGACAGACAAGUCACCACAGCUGUCCACUGGACAUGCCCAAAGCACCAAUAACAGCACUCAUUGCUUGGGGCCCAGAGUCAUGGACAACUG
rnacentral:lncRNA from 1 species